rnacentral:lncRNA from 1 species
UUUAAUUUAUUUGGUAUUUGAGGAGAUUGAAAGAGAUGAAAGGAAGGUUAAAAGGAGAAUUGGUAUGUUGAAUUGAGGUAUGCUUGAGGACAAGCAUAAAUUAAGUGUGGGGGAAUUUGAUAAGUCACAAAUAGUUAUAUUUAUCGUGUUGAAUUUCCUUGCAAUUUGGUUGAAUAAUGUACUUAAUUAUGGAAAUUAUGUUUAUUCUGACUUAGGUGAUGCAAUAUCAAGGAUGGAGCAAAAUCCAGCCUAAAGACAUGUUUUAAGUCAUCAUUUAUCAGAAAACAAGUCUUUUGGAG